CAACAGUCUGGAAAAGAAGAAAUGUCAUUGUCAACUUUCUGAGCCAACACAAGGGAUGAUACUCUCCAGAGCUACGUUUGAAAUACCAUUUCAGCUUCAUUCAGUCCUUUGUUGGUAAAGAAAAAAAAUAUUGAGGCUACCCACAUCAGAACUUUGUUUUAGCAUCUUCCUUCUUAGCCAGUAACAAGAAUCUUUUUGCAAGAUUCUUGAAGAGCUGGUCACUGGACAUCGAAGUAAUCCAAGAAAUUCUUGGAGAAGGUAUAAUAAAGAUCUUCUCAUCAUGUAAAUGCCCUCCAGAGGGUUAAUGACGGCAAACGAUCUAUCUGUAUCCUGGGCUGUGUGCCAUUCCAGGAAAAGGCAAAGUCUCAGAUAACAGACCAGAAGGAUUAGGAUUAGAGUUGCCGUGUACGGUCCAUCAAACAAACAAUCUGAGCAUGACUUUCACCCUCAGAUUUCAGUUACGGGGAUCAAAAUACAAGAACCGUGUCCCAGUGUGGUAUUUUUGGCUGCCUGCGUCUGUGUGCCCUCAAGCCAUCGUGACACAAACGCAAGUUGCCUCCCCUUCUACUCAGUAGCGCUCCCUCUGCUUUUGUCUGAAAGAAUUAAAAUCGGUUACACCCAUCUGGUGAUGGUGGUGACGGACCUAACCCAGUUCUUGGGGGCAGCCUGAGCUGCAGGAGCUAGACGGUGACUCAGAGAGGCAGCCAGCGGGGCUCAGGGGAUCAUCUAGACAACUGAUAGAUACUAAAAGCAGAUGUGACCUCAUUCAUAUUCACAAGUCCCUGUUGUCCCCAAGGCAAAAAGCAGCGAGCUUGCUCCUCUUCACCCUCACACGAACCCUUCAAGCUGCCUUUUCGUUCCAGCGACAUUCACCUAUAUUGGAGUACAUCGUUAAUGGAGGGGCCAUGGGGAUUUGGAGGGGCUCGGGCAGAGACAAAGGCAUUGUAUCUGGAUGACUCAAGCUGCACAGACUUGGAGGGAUGAGCCUGCCCUGCCUGUCCUCUCUCAGGAAAGCCUCCCUACUCCCUGAAACCCCUGGGAAAGUACCUCGUGAGAGUUCCUGGUUCUCCACUCUGAAGCUGCAUUGGUAGGCUGGGGCUGGGCAGGCAUUGCCUGGUAAAGGGCAAGUCUGCUUGCUCGAUCUGUAGAGAAUGCAGAGCUCGGGUAUGAUGUACAGCAGCAGGAAGACCCAUGCAUUGGUGACCAGGGCAAUACAGAUGACAGGGUCAUCCCACUGGGGCUGCCGCUGGAACUGUGGGUUGCCUCUCAGGAGCAUGGAGAUCCACACUACCCAGAUAAUGAUGGAGAUGAGCACAGUGACGAAGAUGAGCCUUCCAUGUUGCUUCCAGUUCUCACAUGGGCCACAGAAAGUGGCUUUGGAGACGAAGAAUGUGAGGGCCAUCAGGAAGAGGACAUAGACCAGGAGCACAACAAAGUCCACGUUGAGCUGACAGGGUGUCAUAUGCAUGAACAUCAUACCCCUGGUCAUCAUGAGAGUCACAUACUCAGUGGCAAUGAUUAUCUGCAGCAAGCUGACACCAAUAGCAAUGCACAGAAUUGUUGUCCAAGAGAAGGAGACUCUGCCCCGGACCAGCUUCACCAGGUUGGAGGCAUGAGCCAAGAGGCAUGAGAAACAGAGAGCAAAGAGAACCCCAAAGAGAAAGUAGCGUACAGGGGCAGUUUGCUGAUUGAACUGAGUGAUGAAGGCAAACGUGAGGCUAAAGAGUCCCAACACACCCAGGAGGAAGAGGAACUGAGUGGGAAGGACAUUCCACUGGCUGCAGUCUUGAACCCUUCGCAUGAGGAAGAGAAACGCCAAGAGUAGGAUAAUCGUAACUACUAUGCCAAUUAUUGCCAGGGACUCUAGAACAGUGCUCCAUGGCCCCUCGUUGUCACAGAGGAAAUAAUAGUCCUCAGUGGACUUGACGCAGUCCUCAUACAUGGUGACUUGUAGGUGGACCUCACGAGAAUGGACUUCUGUUUCCCUGCGGAAGAAAGAUGAGACAAAUUUCUGACUACAUCCACUCAUAAGAGCGCCCGUCAGGUAGUCCUAUUUGGGCACUAUAAGGUCUCUCAUUCCCAAAAGAAGACACCUGGACAUACUGGAUAAAACGUCCCCAAACUAUCAAACCCUGAAAUCUCGCCUGGCUCCAUUCUGCUGGGAAAAGCAGAACAAUGUCUACUUCCCGAUGCUUCAUCCAUUUUCACGUCAGUUUCCACCAAGCCUUUUUGAAACCCGAGGCAGGAUCAUUUUCACAAAAUAGGGUAUGGGACAAAGGUUGCAUGGUUGAUGAGACUCCAGUUAGGUCGGACUCCAGAACGAGCGCUGUCAACGUUAAUGGAUCAUCGGAUCAUUCGAGACACUGAUGCACUGCUUGAGGGACACAGGCAGAUCAUUCUUCCUAGUAAUUCUAAUGGCCGUUCCUUCUUUUAACGUAAGUCAAUCCAACAGAACAUGUUAUUGCUAAAUACCUACUAUUUGUUCAUCAAAGACUUAUGCAAAAUGGUCCCUGCUUCAACUACCUUUUGGGACCAUUGAGCACCAACAUCUAUGUCCUCACUGAGGCUGCCCAGGAAAAAAAAAUUCCACACAUUCUUUAGGAAAAAAGUACUUGGCAAUUGGAUACUUCUAGCUCUAUUCCCCUUCAGUUAUUCCCAAGCCAGAUGGCUGGAGCAAUCCUGGUUUAUAGCUAAGGACAUGGCCCCUUCGUUCCCACUUACCUUCUCUGUGUCCACGCUGGAAGCUGAGAUGAUAGUGGCUGCGAGGUUGUAACUGCCAAUGAGUAAGAAGGAGACAAUCGCAGCUUCUUUAAUCUCUCCCCAAAUGGGCGGAAGGCCCUCACUCAGGUUCCUGCAGUGCCUAUAAAAAGAACCGGAAGGACACACCUAUUCCAGUUUCACGGCAACUUUUCUCCAGAGCUUUCUUUGGUCUCCUGGCCCUAUGGUUUAUCCAGGUUGGUUUUCCCACUGUGCAUAAAGAAACAAACUCCGGUCUGAUUGCCUUCUCUUAGAUGUUGUCCAUGACCUGAAUUGCCUUUUGCUUUAUUUCUGCUGAUCCUGUUCCCUAACCAAAUACUUUCCCUACCUCUAAGAUUUAUCUCUUAUUUCCUCUGUGAGCUUCCCUGACUCCCUUAAUCCCUGGAGCCCUCACCACUCACCUCCUACCAUGAACUCCAAGGCAUGCUGGGGUCGGGUCUGUGCUCUUCACAAUUAGUGGAAACCAUAUUUUCUGUCCAUUUUAUUUGCAUCAAUCGAUUUUCCAUAAAUAAAAUAAUCAAUGAAUUCAAAAUAGUAAUAAAUAAUAAAUGUAUUAAUUUAUUUUCUUUGCAUUGGCCUCACCCCCUUGAUUAGAGUUAUAGCUGCUUGGUGGGGGGUCAGUCUCCACAUUUUAUGCCCCCAUAGCACCUGGCCAUCCUAGGUGAUGGGUGGAUUGUUCAGCUGGGAGAGUCUAAUGAUAGAAUUCCUGACCUCGUGAAGGCAGGUCUUAGCAGUGUGGAUUUCCAGCAGAAGCUUUUUAGUGGAAACUACCAGCAAACAAGUCAGGACCUUAACAAACCCCAGACAAAUUCAUUCUGAAGUGGUGCUCUAUCUUUAGAGACUCUUCAACUUUAAAGAGCCAUCCCCCACCUCUGCUUUGAGAGAGGAAUAUUCCAGGGAGGAGAGUCCUCUCCUUUACUUGCUUUAGGCAUAAUUGUGGUUUGUUGGAAACUGUAAAAGCUAAUCUAAAGUUUACUUUAAGGGUAAAGAGAUUUUUCCAGAUGAUGAAAUGGGACAUCCAUGAGAAUUCACUCAGAGAGCCUCGUGAGUAGUUACAUUGCUGUCUGUAGAACAGCAGAGGAUUUCCCAUUUAAUUCUUCCAAGAGAACUGUUCUGGUGACCCUUCCCCUUCCCCCCCACCCCCUCCCAGCUAGUUACUCAUGGCCACUCCUCACUGUGGUGAUGUUUCCAUUUCCAGCAUGCUCGUCUUCUAAGAAGAUUCUUCCUGAGCUCCUGAUGGCUUGAGGCAGGUGAAUUAAUGGGUUAAUGACCACAAAGCCCUUUGAGCAUCUGAGAUAAAAGAGCUUGUCUCAGGUACUAAUUAUUGCCAUUCUAAAAUCUGGGGUCAUGGAAUUAACCCAUCUGCUGCCAGGCCUGAAGUAAACGAGGGCCUUCUUUGCCUACACACGUCCACAUUACUCACAUCUCCUUUCUUUCGGCUUUUAGGCAGCAACGACAUCUCACCAAACAGUUCAAAUGUGGCUUUGAUGAAUCAGAGUAUAUUGAUUAUAACAAGUCCAAUAAAAAUGAAGACAAAACAGUCAAGAGGCCGAACGCCUUUUGCCAAACACCGAUUUGUGUUGCCUCUUUCUUCCAGAAACAGACCUGGAGGGAAUGUUAGAGGUCACCUAGUCUCACCCUCUCGUUAAUAAUUAAUAGGUAGGAAGCCAAUAGUAUAACAUGAGAACUUGCAUAGCAAGGAGGCAGAGGCCCAGAGAGAUGAAGGGAGGUACCGAAGGUAUGGAAUGUUAGAGGGGAUGGCCAGGGCCAUCUGAUUGCUGGCACAUUCCUGCUGCCGUAUUGGCUGUCCCCCUGACACUUCCCACCUCGGGAGGACAGGCCUCGGAAGAGAGGAGCACUCAGACAUGACACAUGGGUCAUGACCGGAAAGAAAGAAAGAUAAAAAAAAUAGAUUACGAGAGUACGUCAGGUGCUCGGCAUCCUGCAGCACACCCCGCAGCCAGGCGAGGGCUGGCCGUGUGGCGCGGGGUGCUGGCCAGGACUGGGUCACCUGCUCAUUUUGCUCACUGGCAUCUCCAGGACCAGCUUCAUGGUGGUGCCACCAGGGCAGUUGCUCAGGGACUCCCAUUCAGAAGGAUCCCAUGCUUCAAAUUUAGCGCCUUGUGGUCACCAUCUCGAAAUUCUUAAUUUUGUCUUUGUGUGAUGAACGUGAAGUCAGAUGAGACAAUGGAGCAGGCACUGAGAGCUUGGAGUCUGGGGUCAGGCGUGAUCCUGCCUCCCAUUGUCUCUCUGCUUCCCUGAGACAGGUUCUUUGUCGCCUACUCCCUACCACCACUUGGCGCCCUGGGUCACUUGGCUUCCCCAUUUCUGGUCCUGCCCCAUGACUGCUGGCACACUCCAUCAGGGUCACCUCUCUCCUUGGAUUGAGGUGAUGGGCUCUUGGAAAGGGGGGACUGACUUACCCAUGGCCAGGUAGGGUGCCACAUUUUCAUUUUGCACUGGGCCCUGAAAAUUACGUAGCAGGCUUUGGGCAUCUCAUUAAACUUUCCCAUAUAUGGUCAAUUUAAUGCAUAUAAUAUCGGGAUGUUACCACUGUACAGUUUAAUUGUAUAUUAAUAGGAUGUGCAGUUAGUUGCAAGGAACUUACAAUGUUUUAUCUGGGUCAGCAAAGUGUCAAGACUCAACUGAGUCUCAUUUAUGAAUGAGCAGGGUAGUUUUUGGAAAGGAAAUUAUCCGACUUUUUUUUUUUUUUUCCAGUUUGCAACUACUGUAACAUUUUAAUUGAACUAGUAUACAUCGCUUUCAUAUUGGGUUGUUUUAUCCUCAUUAGAAGAAAAGAGAUGAUGUGCAAAAUAUAGAGGUAUGUCAGGUUUAACUGCUGGAUCUGGAAGCAUAAACACAACAACAUUUAGAAAAAUGUUGACUAAGCAUUAUAAAAAGGAAAAAGCAGAGGCAGGACCUUAAAAAUGAAAAUCACCUAAACGUGAUUUAAUUAAAUACGCAAAGCUUAGCAAAAACCACAGACUUGACACAUAAUUUUUAAUGAAAUUUACAGUCUGCUGACUUACCGGGGUUCAGCUUCCAAUUUUUGGACUAUGGUGGUGCCAAAGAGUAGAAACUGAGCUUCAAAUUUGAAUUUGAUCUUUUUCCGGGCUAUGUGCUGAGCAAUCCUCUCUCCUGAUGUUGGGUGGUGGCAGCCGACAGCUCCCGGUCAGCCACAAGAUCAUGGGGCUAAACACCUCCAUACACUUAUAAUCACUCUGCCCCCAUCCAAGCAUUCUGUUUUUCAGCAU